GAGUACUAACCCAAGAAUAGGCUGGAAGAAAGAAACCUGUGGGGUACUUAUCAAAAUUGUUAGAUCCUGUCAAUAAAGGGUGGCCCACCUGCCUGCAAGCAAUAGUAGCUUGUGCUCUCCUGGUAGAGAAGACUAACAAGAUUACCCUCAAUGGAAAACUAAGGGUAUUAUCCCCUCAUAAUACUAGAGAAAUUUUACAACAAAAAGCAGACAAAUAGAUAACUGAUGCCAGACUCUUGAAGUAUGAGAGGAUCCUAUUAGACUCCCCGAAAUUAACCCUGGAGGUAACAACGCUACAAAAUCCUGCUCAGUUUUUGUAUAGAGAGCCCAAUGAAGCUAAAUUGGCCCAUAAUUGCCUGUUAACCAUAAAAGAGCAAACUAAAAUAAGACCAGAUCUUGAAGAAGAAGAACUAGAAGAAAGAGAUAGAUUGUUUGUAGAUAGAUCAUCUCGAGUAAUCGAUAGAAAAAGAGUAUCCGGUUAUGCAAUAAUGAGAAGAGAAGAGUUUAAAGCGAUAGAAUCAGGACCAGUAAGUAAAUCCUAGUCCGCACAAGCCUGUGAGCUUUAUGCCGUGUUACGAGCACUGCAAUUAUUAAAUAAUAAGUUAGAAACAAUAUACACUAAUUCUAAGUAUGACUAUGGGGUUGUGCACACUUUUAAGAAAAUAUAAGAAAAACGGAGACUAAUAAAUUCCCAAGGAAAGGACUUAGUCCAUCAAGAUCUAAUAAAACAAGUGUUACAGGCUUUGAGGGGGCCAAGAAAAAUCGCUGUUGUACUGCAGUUAAGACAGCAGAAAAAAGAUGGACGCAUGCUAGCAAAAUCAAAGGACCAGUGACGGAACCAACCCCCGAGUGGCAGGUGACCAGCCGCCCCAGAGAUCUGACAUUGAAGAUUCAGAAGAAAAAUCGUUCAUGAGCAAACAUCGGGUAGAAUAUGCACCAGAACCAUAUUAUACUGAAGAAGGACUAAUUCGCAGCGCGGAUGUUAAAAUAAGGUGUGGGGACCCCAAGUGUCACUGUUAUCCGUUAGUAUGCUACAUCUGUAAAGUAUGCGGGGACAAGUGGUGGCGUCACUGUAGGCGAGGGGUUCCCCCUAGAGGGGUUUGUAAUCCUUGCUGGACGCUCCAGCGGAACCUAACUGAUUAAAUAUUAGAGUAUAAAGUAGUACAUGAAAGAUUAAUAAAAGAAUCUAAAGAAUAGUAGAAAAUCUUUGCAUAUGAGAUUGAGCCAAAAUAUAAUUGUUAUCAUCCUAAUGAGCCAACCCCCUUUAUAGUUAAAAUUAUUAAUUGCACCUGUCGUACUCACCUAAAGAGAAUCCGGUGUGACACGCCUGAGGUUAAGAACUGUAACUGAGACUCCUAUAUUAAGAGGCAAAAAGAGCGACAGAAUUGCCCCCAGGGGUCUCCUGAAGAAUACUCUUGCUGCCAAGAAGAUGGUACCCCUCGUGGCUCGAAGCAACCGAGUCGACGAGCGAGGCAGAAGAGUAGAAAGCUGUGGAGGAAAGAACCCCCAGAAUGAGAUAAUAAAACUACGCUCAUGGAAAUGCCUCAGAAGUAAGAUUAAGAGCAAGGAUCCCUGGAGGGAGGGCAGGUCGCAAUGUGUAAAUUGGAGGAAUCCUCAAACAUACUUCUGUACUCCCCACGCCUUUAGUGAUGCUCGUUGCUUGACCCGGCAUAUUACCCUUCUUGUGCUUACAUUGUAUUUAAAUGAAGCUAGCGCAACAGAAUCCCUAUCACACCAACCAUUUAAAUGGUCAUUAAUACGGUGGGAGGAUCAGAAGGUUAUACAAACAGUAACUACGCCAAGUAACCCAAGCUUUAGUUGUCAACUCUGUGAUCUUAUACAGGUAGAACCAUGCCUGAACAAAAAAGGAUUUUAUUUCUGCCCAGCAUCUAACCCAGGGAAAACCUAUUGUAACUGGCCUGGACACUACUACUGUGCAUACUGGGGCUGUAAAACAGUCGCCUUUGGGUUUUCCCCUGGAGGAGGAAAAGACAAAUAUAUCAAGGUCGGGUAGAGGCCCAGCGGGUGUCAGCCCCCAGAGGACCAUUAAUUUUGUUAGUGCUUGGACUCACCUUUAGACCAUGUAUAUUUAAUAAACUAAUUUCUAUAAUAAGAAGCCGCUUAGAAGCAGCACACCUUAUGCUUGUUAGAGCUAAGUAUAAACAAAUACUUAAAGAAGAAAACUUAGAAACAUUAAAACUGGCUAAACAAGAAUUACAAAGAUUCAGUGAACAAAAAUGAAUAAAGAAGAUAAAUGGGGGAUUGUGAAAGAUACAGGAUGUUUUGUUCACUAAAUAUCAAGUAGCAGGAAACCAGCUGCCUAUACCUAGAUAAGAGCCAGAGACAAAUAUGUGCUUGCCUAAUCCCUAUCUGUACUUGCUUAAUCAGCUUUUAGUUCCAGGACCUUGAGCAUAAUGACCAUACAAGGAGGGGUCAACCAAAAGACACCGGAGGAUGACUACUAACCUUCAUUCUGCGACCACCAGGAGGAAAAAAGACCCCCUAGCAACAAGUCACACAUGCGCAGAAUACCAUGAAAAAGACACGUUAACUGGAAAAGAGACUGUAUAAGAAGGAACUGGAACUGGCGGAAGGUGCGGCAGUUGGUGGAGCGGAGACUCUCCUGCUGCCCAGCGCUGUAUUUGCCUUUGCCUUGCUUGCUUAUUAAUUAAUAAAAUUUUGUGAUUGGCAAAAUGGA